GGGAGGAUUAUCCGGAUGAACCCCAUCCGGAAGGAGGAUAAGGAGGUGGAAGCUCCAGGGCAUUCGACGCCGUGGAGGAAGAGGCGGAGGCGGCCGAGGAGGAUGAGGAUGGAGGCCGGCAUCCGUACAGCCGCAAGGACACGAUGGCGGUGUAUAACGCCUGGAUCAGCGUCUCGUACGAUCCCAUCGUCGGGAAUCAACAAUCCCGGAAGUGCUUAUGGGAAAAGGUCACUGAGGCCUACAAAGAAACCAGAGACUCGAAAUUCUCCUCCGUCCGCGACGAUGUCGUCAAACAACGACAGCCCGUCUUCCCCCACAGCCGCCGACACUACACCGUUCCUCGGCGAACAGAGCCCCAGCAAUCUCUCCCGCUUCCUCGGUCGCACGCCCAGCAUCCGCGGCGCCGCCCGCUUCCUCCGCCGCGGCCGCUCGAUGCGGGAGCCCUCCGUCCGCGUCCGCGAAGCUGCGGCCGAGCAAAUCGAGGAGCGCCAGAGCGAUUGGGCCUACUCCAAGCCCAUAGUCGUAUUGGACCUUGUCUGGAACCUCGCCUUCGUCAUCGUCUCAAUUUCCGUUCUGAUCAUGAGCCGUGAUGAAAACCCCUCGAUGCCUCUGCGGCUUUGGAUUGUCGGCUACGCGCUGCAGUGCGUCCUUCACAUGAUCUGCGUCUGCGCCGAGUACAGGAAGAGGUAUUCCCAGCGCAAUUCUGAGAGAACGUACACCCGGAAUUACUCGAAUUCGAGCUCCGGAAGUGAUGACGUGGAAUCCGGCGGUUAUGAUUCGGAGCGCCAGCAGAGUGAUGAUGAAACUAGUGUUGCUAAACUCCUGGAGACUGCAAAUACAAUGUUCUCGUUCAUUUGGUGGAUAAUUGGGUUCUACUGGGUAUCUUCUGGUGGCCCGGAUUUGACUGCUGAAUCGCCACAGCUUUACUGGCUUUCCAUUGCAUUCUUGGCAUUCGAUGUUUUCUUCGUUGUGGUUUGUGUUGCUGUGGCAUGUAUAAUUGGAAUUGCUGUUUGCUGCUGUCUACCAUGUAUCAUUGCAAUCUUAUAUGCAGUUGCAGAUCAGGAAGGAGCUACUAAGGAAGAUAUUGAGAGACUGCCAAAAUUCAGAUUUCGGAAAAUUGGUGACUUUGAGAAGCAAAAUGGUGACACUCAAGAAUCAUUUGGAGGAAUAAUAACUGAAUGCGAUACUGAUUCUCCCACAGAGCAUGUUCUACCUCUUGACGAUGCUGAAUGUUGUAUUUGCCUUUGUGCCUACGAUGAUGGAGCUGAGCUGCGCGAACUCCCCUGUCGGCAUCAUUUUCACUCAGCCUGCAUAGACAAGUGGCUACACAUAAAUGCAAUUUGUCCACUCUGCAAAUUCAAUAUACUGAAAACUGGCAGUCACAUUGACAGCGAAGAAGCAUAAUCGAGAAAUGUAUAAACGAUCAACCAGGAGACUUGUUUAACUUUGAUGUUGGAUGACUAAAGCUUUCCUGCUUCAGGAUCAACAACGUGAAAUGGAGAACAACAACGAAGGUACUCCAAUGACGAGCGGGUCUCAAACUCCCCCGGUACCCGUGGUAGGUGUAUGGGGUCCGAUGCCCGGGAACUACAACAUGUACCCGUGGCAACAGAUGAUGCCCGAGAUGGCAGCCGGGGGGAGAUCGCCGGGGGGGUUACUGGCGAUGCCGGGGUGGGCACCCGAUAUGCAGAUGAUGCCGGGAGGAGUACUGGCGACGCAGGGCGGAACGUCUAUCGCCCAAGUUUUGAUUUUUUCGACUGCUUCUUCGCACACAUCGACCCCAGCGGAGGCGCAGUUCACGCAAUAUGAGACUUUCUCCUUAGAGGAGUUGGGGUUUGAUCUUCUCGUUGUUCCGGAAACUCC